AUGAUUUCAGUCCUUAAUGGACCUCUAGGCCCAAGACAGCUAAGCCAUAUGAGAACUGUAUCUUGUUUUGGUCUCCUACCCACUUGGCAGGCUCUAACUUGUGGCAGCAUUGAAGCAUGGCAACUCUUGGAAAGCCUGGGUCCUGUAAGCAAGCACAGAAAGCACAAAAACACUGGACUAGUCUGCUACAAGGAGGUUAAAUGCAAUAUGAGAAUGCAAAGGUGUGGAAGAAAAUUCAAGUACAAGAAUGAGGAGCGGAGUAUCUUUCCUAAUGUAUUUAUAAUUCAUAUUUUCAUAUUUCUGUUACCAUGCAAUGUGGUAAAUCCUGGAGAAAGCUGAGAAAAAAAAAAAAAAAGAUAAAAAUAAAUAAAUAAAUAAAAUGGUUAUUUUAUUCCCACCAAAAAAUCUCUUCUAAGGGUUGGUGUAUCAUGAGGUUUCUGUUCUCCUCUCUCUAUUGACAUAAGUAAUCAUGCAUGCUUUUAGUUGAGAAAGUAAUAUUCUUUGUCUUUCUAACAAAGAUUUUAUUGCUACUAUGAUGGGUCAAAGUGUUGCACACUGACCUGCAAAGGGGGAAAAAAAAAACUCUUAUAAAACCAAAUGUCUUUCAGAGUUACAAUUAUUUGCAAUUAUCUAAUUCAGCAUAAAAGGCAAACAUGAUGUCACAGGGUCUUUGAUACUAUAAAAGACUCCUUUUGUGAAAGGCCUUUGAUCCUUACUAAUCCACACGCCAGGUAUUGCUGAUUUAAUUGCCUGAAAGGUAAAUAUAAAUUACUGAGCAGAUCUUUGUGCUAAUUUUAUUUAUUGUAAUUGUUUUUUUAUGGAUUUUUUCACACUGGGAAGUGUUUCUGUUGCAUUUCAUUAAUAUUUUAAUGAGCUCCAAAUAGAUACUUUUAAUUCUAUAGAAAAAGUUAAAACCAUUGUGAACUUGAUAACAUUUGCUUAAAAACAUAUGUGAUGGAGGAAACAGCACUGACUUCAUCACGUGCACAGUUGUGUGCGAGUGUAUGUG
rnacentral:lncRNA from 1 species